GACGAACGCUGGCGGCGUGCUUAACACAUGCAAGUCGAACGGAAAGGCCCUGCUUUUGUGGGGUGCUCGAGUGGCGAACGGGUGAGUAACACGUGAGUAACCUGCCCUUGACUUUGGGAUAACUUCAGGAAACUGGGGCUAAUACCGGAUAGGAGCUCCUGCUGCAUGGUGGGGGUUGGAAAGUUUCGGCGGUUGGGGAUGGACUCGCGGCUUAUCAGCUUGUUGGUGGGGGAGUGGCUUACCAAGGCUUUGACGGGUAGCCGGCCUGAGAGGGUGACCGGCCACAUUGGGACUGAGGUAAGGCCCAGACUCCUACGGGAGGCAGCAGUGGGGAAUAUUGCACAAUGGGGGGAAGCCUGAUGCAGCAACGCCGCGGGCGGGAUGACGGCCUUCGGGCUGUAAACCGCUUUCGCCUGUGACGAAGCGUGAGUGACGGUAAUGGGUAAAGAAGCACCGGCUAACUACGUG
rnacentral:rRNA from 1 species